rnacentral:lncRNA from 1 species
GGAAAUGUGGCUUUUAAUAGCUCGUGAGUCAGAGCAAGGCAUGCCUGUGCUGCAGGCAAGCAGCUGCGCUGCUGCAGUGUGUGGACGGACCCAGGGGACUGCUGGAGGCUCCCAUGCCAGGACCAGGCAGGGCUCAGCCCAGAUUGUAAUCUCCUCUCGGAUGUCAAACUAACCCAGAUAAUAAAACAGCUUGAGUCUCAAGACGUUCCCCAGAGAGAAAUGUAUG